AACGAACGCUGGCGGCAGGCCUAACACAUGCAAGUCGAACGAUCCUUCGGGAUAGUGGCAGACGGGUGAGUAACGCGUGGGAAACUACCUUUCGGUACGGAAUAGCCUCGGGAAACUGGGAAUAAUACCGUAUACGUCCUUCGGGAGAAAGAUUUAUCGCCGAUUGAGGUGCCCGCGUUGGAUUAGCUUGUUGGUGAGGUAAUGGCUCACCAAGGCGACGAUCCAUAGCUGGUCUGAGAGGAUGAUCAGCCACACUGGGACUUAGACACGGCCCAGACUCCUACGGGAGGCAGCAGUGGGGAAUAUUGGACAAUGGGCGAAAGCCUGAUCCAGCCAUGCCGCGUGAGUGAUGACGGCCUUAGGGUUGUAAAGCUCUUUCAGUGGUGAAGAU
rnacentral:rRNA from 1 species